GGUUGACCUCGGAUCAGGUAGGGAUACCCGCUGAACUUAAGCAUAUCAAUAAGCGGAGGAAAAGAAACCAACAGGGAUUGCCCUAGUAACGGCGAGUGAAGCGGCAAGAGCUCAAAUUUGAAAGCUGGCUCCUUCGGGGCCCGCAUUGUAAUUUGCAGAGGAUGCUUCGGGAGUGGCCCCCGUCUAAGUGCCCUGGAACGGGCCGUCAUAGAGGGUGAGAAUCCCGUAUGGGAUGGGGUGUCCACGCCCGUGUGAAGCUCCUUCGACGAGUCGAGUUGUUUGGGAAUGCAGCUCUAAAUGGGUGGUAAAUUUCAUCUAAAGCUAAAUAUUGGCCGGAGACCGAUAGCGCACAAGUAGAGUGAUCGAAAGAUGAAAAGCACUUUGAAAAGAGAGUUAAAAAGCACGUGAAAUUGUUGAAAGGGAAGCGUUUGCGACCAGACUCGCCCUGGGGGUUCAGCCGGCUUUCGGGCCGGUGUACUUCCCCCGGGGCGGGCCAACGUCGGUUUGGGCGGCCGGUCAAAGGCCCCUGGAAUGUACCGCCUCUCGGGGCGACUUAUAGCCAGGGGUGUCAUGCGGCCUGCCCGGACCGAGGAACGCGCUUCGGCUCGGACGUUGGCAUAAUGGUCGUAAACGACC
rnacentral:rRNA from 1 species